rnacentral:rRNA from 1 species
GAUGAACGCUGGCGGCGUGCCUAAUACAUGCAGGUCGAACGCUGGAAAUCUAGCUUGCUCGAUUGAAGGAGUGGCGAACGGGUGAGUAAUACAUAAGCAACCUACCCACGAAGACUGGGAUAAUCUCUGGAAACGGGGACUAAUACCGGAUAGGUAAUCGGAAGGCAUCUUCUGAUUAUUAAAGGUUAAAAACACUGGUGGAUGGGCUUAUGGCGCAUUAGUUAGUUGGUGAGGUAACGGCCCACCAAGACGAUGAUGCGUAGCCGGCCUGAGAGGGUGAACGGCCACAUGGGGACUGGGACACGGCCCAGACUCCUACGGGAGGCAGCAGUAGGGAAUUGUAGGAAAUGGGAGAAACCCUGACCGGGCAACGCCGCGUGAGUGAUGACGGCCUUCGGGUUGUAAAGCUCUGUUGUAAGGGAAGAACGGUAGAUAGAGAAUAUCUAAAUGACGGUACCUUAACAGAAAGCCACGGCUAACUACGUG